rnacentral:rRNA from 1 species
CCUACGGGAGGCAGCAGUGAGGAAUAUUGGUCAAUGGGCGGGAGCCUGAACCAGCCAAGUCGCGUGAGGGAAGACGGUCCUAUGGAUUGUAAACCUCUUUAGGCGGGGAGCAAUGCCGGGCACGUGUGCCCGGAGGGAGAGUACCCGCAGCAUAAGCAUCGGCUAACUCCGUGCCAGCAGCCGCGGUAAUACGGAGGAUGCGAGCGGUAUCCGGAUUGAUUGGGUUAAAGGGGUGCGUAGGCGGAUUCUAAAGUCAGCGGUAAAAUGACCGGGCUCAACCCGGGCCGGCCGUUGAAACUGGGGAUCUUGAGUGGGCGAGAAGUAUGCGGAAUGCGUGGUGUAGCGGUGAAAUGCAUAGAUAUCACGCAGAACUCCGAUUGCGAAGGCAGCAUACCGGCGCCCGACUGACGCUGAGGCACGAAAGCGUGGGGAUCGAACAGGAUUAGAUACCCCAGUAGUC